AUGGCCGCCGCCGGUUCCUCCGCCGCACCCCUCCCGGCCCCAAUCUCCCUCAACGACAAGGCGGCGGCCGUGGGCGGCGGGGUCGGCGGCGACCGGGCGGCGGGGGGCUGCGGGGUGUGCGCGAUCUGCCUCGACAGGAUCCCGCUCCAGGAGACGGCGCUCGUCAAGGGCUGCGACCACGCCUACUGCGUCACUUGCAUUCUGAGGUGGGCAUCCUACAAGCAGACACCAGUAUGCCCGCAAUGCAAGCACCCGUUUGAGUUCCUCAGUGUGCACCGCUCUCUUGAUGGCUGCCUUCAUGACUACAUGUUCGAUGAGAGCGUUUGUCUUCUUCUGAGAGCCACUUGGUUUAAGCCUCUGGUCGUAGAGGCUCACGAGGAGGCUCAGGAGGAAGAAGACAUUUACCGCAGUUACCAAUAUGAUGAUGGCGAUGAGGAUGACCUUUAUGAGGAAUACAUAAGCAGGUCACCGAGCAUUCGAAUUGGCAACAGGAGGUGGGGUGACAAUGGGUACGUCAGAGGGGGCAGGAGGGAGGCCAGGCCAGUAGUGAUCCCUCCUGUUGUUGAUGCUGUUCCAUCCAGGACUCCCAAGAAGAAAGAGGGAUCAGCAUCAGGUUCAGGAUCAGGUUCAGUGUCCAAGGAUGUCGCAGGACGGCGGGCAAGAAGGGCUCAGAAGCGAGAGGCUGCUGACAAGGCGGCUGCAGAGAAGCACCUCAAGCUCCUGCAGAGGCUGGGCCGCGGGAAAACUCCCGAAGCGCCACCUGAAGCACCGGAAUCACUUGAGGUUGGUCCUCCAGAGUCACUCGAGGUUGGUCCUCCUGUGAUCGAGUGA
rnacentral:rRNA from 1 species